UACGUAGGGGGCAAGCGUUGUCCGGAAUCAUUGGGCGUAAAGAGCGCGUAGGCGGCCCUGUAAGUCCGCUGUGAAAGUCAAGGGCUCAACCCUUGAAUGCCGGUGGAUACUGCAGGGCUAGAGUCCGGAAGAGGCGAGUGGAAUUCCCAGUGUAGAGGUGAAAUUCGUAGAUAUUAGGAAGAACACCGGUGGCGAAGGCGGCCCACUGGCUCGAUACUGACGCUGAGGUGCGAAAGCGUGGGGAGCAAACAGG
rnacentral:rRNA from 1 species